AAUAAUAACAAAUUAUGAAAAAUAUUUCGGUCGCAAUUUUCAUUCUAAUAUUUUAGUGAAAACAAAUUUCUAUUUUUAACUAUAAAAAAGAGGUUUUUUUAAUAAUCAGUUAAAAAAUUUAAUUUACGGCAAAUAAAGGAAGUGCAAUGAGAUAAUGUCAUUAGCUGCUUCACUAACUUCAUGCCAAGAAUACUCCAUAUCCUCUGGCUUGGUGAAUCUGGAGCAAACAGCCAUACGCAAAAAGUAUACAUCAUUUAUUUUACUCGGCACCAUAUGUAUGUUACCGCGUCCGUUAAUAAGUCUCAAAAGUUUCUCACUCUUUUCAUUAGCACCCUUUAAACGAAAACAAACCAAACCCAUAUUUACAUCACCAACGAUUUCAAAACGAUUAUCGGCUCUGCAGAGAUCAGCAAACUGU
rnacentral:misc_RNA from 1 species